GAUGAACGCUGGCGGCGUGCCUAAUACAUGCAAGUCGAGCGACCACACGAGAGUACUUGCACUCUCUGACGUUAGCGGCGGACGGGUGAGUAACACGCAUGUAACCUUCCUAUAAGAUUGGGAUAACUUCGGGAAACCGGACCCUAUUCCCGAUUAUAUUUUACUUCUCAUGAAGCAAUAGCUUCAGACGUUUCUGCUGUCACUUAUACAUUGACCCGCGGUGUAUUAGCUGGUUGGUGGGGUAACGGCUCAACAAGGCAACGAUACAUAUCCGACCUGAGAGGGUGAACCGCCAAACUGGGACUGGGACACGGCCCAGACUCCUACGGGAGGCAGCAGUAGGGAAUCUUGGGCAAUGGGGGGAAGGCUGACGGAGCAAUGCCGCGUGGGUGAAGAAGGUUUUCGGGUUGUAAAACCCUGUUGUUGGGGAAGAAGAAGAACGUGAGUAACUCCACGUAGUUUGACGGUACCCUAAAAGAAAGCCACGGCUAACUUCGUG
rnacentral:rRNA from 1 species